CCUACGUGUGGCAGCAGUGGGGAAUAUUGCGCAAUGGGCGAAAGCCUGACGCAGCGACGCCGCGUGAGGGAUGAAGGUCUUCGGAUCGUAAACCUCUGUCAGCAGGGAAGAACGGUCACUGUGCUAAUCAGCAGUGAAUUGACGGUACCUGCAAAGGAAGCACCGGCUAACUCCGUGCCAGCAGCCGCGGUAAUACGGAGGGUGCGAGCGUUAAUCGGAAUUACUGGGCGUAAAGCGCUCGUAGGCGGUAUGUCAAGUCAAGGGUGAAAUCCCCGGGCUCAACGUGGGAACUGCCUUGGAAACUGGCAGACUAGAGUGUGUGAGAGGAGAGUGGAAUUCCAGGUGUAGGAGUGAAAUCCGUAGAGAUCUGGAGGAACAUCAGUGGCGAAGGCGACUAUCUGGCACAUAACUGACGCUGAGGAGCGAAAGCGUGGGUAGCAAACAAGAUUAGAUACCCCAGUAGUC
rnacentral:rRNA from 1 species